rnacentral:rRNA from 1 species
AACGAACGCUGGCGGCAGGCUUAACACAUGCAAGUCGAGCGCCCCGCCAGGGGAGCGGCAGACGGGUGAGUAACGCAUGGGAACAUACCCAACCCUACGGAAUAACCCAGGGAAACUUGGACUAAUACCGUAUACGCCCUUUUGGGGGAAGGUUUAUCGGGGAUGGAUUGGCCCGCGUUGGAUUAGCUAGGUGGUGGGGUAAAGGCCUGCCAAUGCGACGAUCCAUAGCUGGUCUGGGAGGAUGAUCAGCCACAUUGGGACUGCGACACGGCCCAAACUCCUACGGGAGGCAGCAGUGGGGUAUAUUGGACAAUGGGCGCAAGCCUGAUCCAGCCAUGCCGCGUGAGUGAUGAAGGCCUUAGGGUUGUAAAGCUCUUUCACCGAUGAAGAUAAUGACGGUAGUCGGAGAAGAAGCCCCGGCUAACUUCGUG